CUGGAAUCUAUUUCUAUUCUUUUUCUAUGCAUUGAAACGCCUUUCACGAUUUUGAAUGGACACAUAUAUACCUAGACCCAACAAGGUUAAAGCUAAAUUUGAUUGAUGUUGAAAGCCUAGUUUUAGGUUGGAUGGUUCCUUAGAAUUGGCUUUCACCACCAGAUCCUAAUUCUAGGAUUCAUUUGCUUUGGAUUUCUGCUGCAG
rnacentral:misc_RNA from 1 species